rnacentral:lncRNA from 10 species
AUGUUUCUGCGAGCACAGGGUUGGGGCUAGGGUUACAGAUUAACAGCAUCUCAAGGCAGAAGAAUUUUUCUUAGUACAGAUCAAAAUGGAGUUUCUUAUGUCUUCCUUUUUCUACAUAGACACAGUAACAGUCUGAUCUCUCUUUCUUUCCCCCACAAUGCUUGUUUGAGGACAUGUAUUAUCACCAGAGAGGACUUGAAACUGCAUAACAAACCGUACUUGCCAGACAUUUCCUAAUCACCUUCUCACUGUUUACUCCCUCCCCCUAUAAUCGAUAAUCGCAAAGCUUCCUUUCCCUUUGACUAUUCUAUUCUCUUCACAAUUUAUCACCCCUUGUUAAAUGGUAUAUAAGCCCCCAGCCCUAAACUCCUACUUGGGUUUUCACUUCUCUUUUGUGAAGCCUCAUUAUGUAUGCAAAAUAAAAUUUUUCUACUGUUAAUCUGUCGUUUAUCAGUUUAAGUGACAGGCUGGGGCUGGGCGCCGUGGCUCACGCCUGUAAUCCCAGCACUUUCGGGAGGCCGAGGUGGCCGGAUCACGAGGUCAGGAGAUCGAGACCAUCCUGGCUAACACAGUGAAACCCCGUCUCUACUAAAAAAUACAAAAAAUUAGACGGGCGUGGGCCGGUCGCGGUGGCUCCCGGCUGUAAUCCUAGCACUUUGGGAGGCCGAGGCGGGCGGAUCACGAGGUCAGGAGAUGGAGACCAUCCUGGCUAACACGGUGAAACCCCGUCUCUACUAAAAAUACAGAAAAUUAGCCGGACGAGGUGGCGGGCCCUGUAGUCCCAGCUACUCGGGAGGCUGAGGCAAGAGAAUGGCGUGAACCCCAGGGGGCGGAGCCUGCAGUGAGCCGAGAUUGCGCCCCACUGCACUCCAGCCUGGGCAACAGCGAGACUACGUCUCAAAAAAAAAAAAAAAAAAAAUUAGCCGGGUGUGGUGGCGGGCGCCUGUAGUCUCAGCUACUCGGCAGGCUGAGGCAGGAGAAUGGCGUGAACCCCGGAGGCAGAGCUUGCAGUGAGCCAAGAUUGUGCCACUGCACUCCAGCCUGGGCGACAGAGCAAGGCUCUGUCUCAAAAAAAAAAAAAAAAGUGACAGGCUCUACACACUGAAUUUAAGAAGGUAGAGGUCGGGUUUUUUCAUCAUCUACAAAGGUACUCUGCUUCUAAAAUGAGUUAGAACAAUGGAUUUGACCACAAUCAGAUGGACAUUAAGGGUAAGAAAGAAAAGUGGCUCAAAGCAGCCUGAGGAAUGUAAAGUAUGCAAAAUUUAUCAGGCUCAGAGAGACUUGAGCAAGAGCCUUCAGUCAUAUCCCUCUCAGCCAUACCCAGGAAUAACUGUUUCAAGGCAUUUUGACAGGGGCGGCGACUCAGCUCUUGCCUGUAAUCCCAGCUACUCAGCAGGCUGAGAUGGGAGGAUCACAUAAGCCCAGGAGUUUGAGACUGCAGCAGGCUAUAAUCAGGCUACUGCAUUUCACCCUGGUGACAGAGUGAGACUCCGUCUCAAAAAAAAACAAUAUAAGGUGAAGGCCAAGCAGGGUGGCACAUACCUGUUGUCUCACCUACUCAAAAGGCUGAGGCCAGAGGAGGAUUGCUGGAAGUGAGUUCAAAGCCAGCCUAGAGAAUAUAUUGAGACUCUGUCUCUAAAUUUUAUAUAUAUAUGGUGAAUUCACCUUUACCAUAUCUUUUAUGUAUAAGCAAUGGGAUUGAUUAGCAAGUAAUGGGACUCUGAAAUCAAAGGGGUAAAUUUGGGUAGAUCUUUAUAAAUAUAAUAACCUUGAACCCCACAAAUCUCUCUAAGCGUCCUUUAAAAAAUAGACUUUCUGUCUGAGUAGGUGAGUCCUUUUUUUUGUUUGAAGAUACUAGAAAGCUCUUACUUGAGACAGCUCCUAAAAGAAUGUCAAUUCAACAGAAGUCUCAUAGCCAGUAUAACUAAUUCUAACCCCCUAACUAGAGUCAGAUACUAGGAUACCCCUAAGGGACAACAAUGAAAUCUGAAUUUGGGUGUCAUUGCUUACAUAUCAAAACAGUUGCAAGAGACAGUUAAUUUAUAUUUGCAGAAACCAUAUGAAUUUGUAUGAAAAUGAUUUUUUAAAGUGCUAUAUCAAGAAAACUAGAACAUAAUGCAGAACAAAUAAAAUUUACUUAUAUGGGUGCCAAGAAUAGAAAUUCUGGGUUCCGCAUACAUCAGCAUCUAGAAGAAUCUGCAGUAGGUAUGGAUGGUUGAUUGAGGCCUUUAUUCAAUGGUAGUCUACAAAGAAUAAGACAGAAGUAAGAACUUUCCUGUUAAAAUGGAAAGAUAGAGUAAACAAGUUUAGGAAUAUCUCAUAAGCCACUGAUUCCAUUCUUAGGUCUAUAUCCAAGGGAAAUUCUUGCACAUGCACACAAGGAAACAUGGAAGAGAAUGUCCAUAUAUGUACUGUUCACAGUA